rnacentral:rRNA from 1 species
GGCCCGGGAUAGCCCAGGGGAAACCUGGAUUAAUACCGGAUGAGACGGGACCCGCGAUGGCGGGACCCGGGAAAGGCGCUGCGGGCGCCGCCGGGGGAUGAGUCUGCGUCCCAUUAGCUAGACGGCGGGGUAACGGCCCACCGUGGCGACGAUGGGUAGCCGGCCUGACGAGGGUGGACGGCCACAUUGGAACUGAGACACGGUCCAGACUCCUACGGGAGGCAGCAGCUAAGAAUCUUCCGCAAUGGGCGAAAGCCUGACGGAGCGAACCGCCGCGUGAACGAAGAAGGCCGUGAGGUUGUAAAGUUCUUUUCGGGAGGGGGAACAACCGUGGCAGGGAAUGGCCGCGGGAUGACGUGAAUCCCGGAAUAAGCCCCGGCUAACUACGUGCCAGCCGCCGC